rnacentral:rRNA from 1 species
CCUACGGGGGGCUGCAGUGAGGAAUAUUGGUCAAUGGGCGAGAGCCUGAACCAGCCAAGUCGCGUGAGGGAGUACUGCCCUAUGGGUUGUAAACCUCUUUUGUCGGGGAGCAAAAGCCGGAAGUGUCCGGCUGUGAGAGUACCCGAAGAAAAAGCAUCGGCUAACUCCGUGCCAGCAGCCGCGGUAAUACGGAGGAUGCGAGCGUUAUCCGGAUUUAUUGGGUUAAUAGGGUGCGCAGGCGGAUUUUUAAGUCAGCGGUAAAAUCGUGGGGCUCAACCCCAUCCAGCCGUUGAAACUGGGGAUCUAGAGUGUGCGAGAGGUAUGCGGAAUGCGUGGUGUAGCGGUGAAAUGCAUAGAUAUCACGCAGAACCCCGAUUGCGAAGGCAGCAUACCGGUGCACAACUGACGCUCAGGCACGAAAGCGUGGGUAUCGAACAGGAUUAGAUACCCUAGUAGUC